rnacentral:rRNA from 1 species
UACGUAGGGUGCGAGCGUUAAUCGGAAUUACUGGGCGUAAAGCGUGCGCAGGCGGUUUUGUAAGCCAGAUGUGAAAUCCCCGGGCUCAACCUGGGAAUGGCAUUUGGGACUGCAAGGCUGGAGGACGGUAGAGGUAGGUAGAAUUCCCGGUGUAGUGGUGAAAUGCGUAGAGAUCGGGAGGAAUACCUGUGGCGAAGGCGGCCUACUGGGCCGGACCUGACGCUGAGACGCGAAGGCGUGGGGAGCAAACAGG